AGGCAGCAGUGGGGAAGUAUUGCACAAUGGGGGAAACCCUGAUGCAGCCAUGCCGCCGUGUGUGAAGAAGGACCUUCGGGUUGUAAAGCACUUUCAGUAGGGAGGAAGGUAGUGUAGUUAACACCUGCAUUAUUUGACGUUACCUACAGAAGAAGCACCGGCUAACUCCGUCGCCAGCAGCCGCGGUAAUACGGAGGGUGCGAGCGUUAAUCGGAAUUACUGGGCGUAAAGCGCAUGCAGGCGGCCUGUUAAGUCAGAUGUGAAAGCCCGGGGCUUAACCUCGGAAUUGCAUUUGAAACUGGCAGGCUAGAGUCUUGUAGAGGGGGGUAGGAAUUUCAGGUGUAGCGGUGAAAUGCGUAGAGAUCUGAAGGAAUACCAGUGGCGAAGGCGGCCCCCUGGACAAAGACUGACGCUCAGAUGCGAAAGCGUGGGGAGCAAACAGGAUUAGAUACCCUGGUAG
rnacentral:rRNA from 1 species